UUUAAUUAUUUGCAUAUUUGAUGUUAGUAUAACCCCCCAAUGUUCAAUGCUUUAAUCCUAAUCAUUCUAAUAAUUUCGAAGGUACAUAUUCCAUAUAUAGCACAUGACGAUGGGUCCAUGAAAGAUUUAAGUCCUGCAAAAGAUAUAUAUUGGCUCUCAGGUUGGUCCUGGAAAUGCCCAUCGAGCAGGUGUCAUUGUCCCAAAAAAUAGUGAACGGAGAUCAGCACCGAGCCCCACAGUUUAGUCCAGCCCUUUUGAUUACUGAUCCAAUCCCCAAACCCUGCAAGUUCUCACUGCGUUUGAAGUUUAAACACCACUAAAAAGACAAGAGAAAGAAGAAAGAAUGUUAAAAGCCAGAUGUUGUUACUGCGUGCCUUACUCUUUUAGAUUUUGCAGGAAGUGAAGAAGCUGGGUGUAGUUGUUCUUUUAGGAUUUCUUUUGCCCAUCAGUGAUCGAUCCAAGAACAACGAGGACCACCGAAUUGGACACAGAGAAGCGGUGUUCACGGGCUAAAUAAAGAGAGAGCGAAAGGGGUAGGCAGAACUCGUUCCAAGAACUUUUC
rnacentral:lncRNA from 1 species